GGCAGCUCUCGGUUAACCUGCAGUAUCCGUUGUAACGCCUGCAUGGCUAACUGCUGUUAGCGCCAUUUUCUUAGCCUGACAUUAAUAGGGUCAAUGAUCGACGGCGCCUUGCUGCCACCCACAGGACAUGGGAGGAACAAGCCAGCAAACAGAUGGACAGAUCUAACCUCGAGCAGCUGCAGUUUCUCUGAGCACCACUAGAGAGGGGAAGAGACAACCG